rnacentral:rRNA from 1 species
AUUGAACGCUGGCGGCAUGCUUUACACAUGCAAGUCGAACGGUAACAGGCCGCAAGGUGCUGACGAGUGGCGAACGGGUGGGUAAUGCAUCGGAACGUGCCGAGUCGUGGGGGAUAACGCAGCGAAAGCUGCGCUAAUACCGCAUACGAGCUAUGGAUGAAAGCGGGGGACCGUAAGGCCUCGCGCGAUUGGAGCGGCCGAUGUCAGAUUAGGUAGUUGGUGGGGUAAAGGCUCACCAAGCCGACGAUCUGUAGCUGGGCUGAGAGGACGACCAGCCACACUGGGACUGAGACACGGCCCAGACUCCUACGGGAGGCAGCAGUGGGAAAUUUUGGACAAUGGGGGCAACCCUGAUCCAGCAAUGCCGCGUGCAGGAAGAAGGCCUUCGGGUUGUAAACUGCUUUUGUACGGAACGAAACGGCUCUGGUUAAUACCCGGGGCUAAUGACGGUACCGUAAGAAUAAGCACCGGCUAACUACGUGCCAGCCGCCGGGUAA